GCGGUGGUCAAGUCUUAUGUUAACAGGAUCAAUUGGCGAAUCGGAUAAAUGCGUCGCCAUAGAUUGAGUGACAAUUAAAGCAAGGUACAAAACCGGGUCUAUUUGUUGUCCCGAGCCAGGUAUAAUUUUAGCACCGGAGGACGAUCAAGCACAACGAAGAACCGAACACGAUCAAGAUAUAAGCUUCCGCACUUUGUAUCGUUGUUAUGUAAAAUGA